GCGAAAACUUUACAAUGCUGGCAACAGCGAUAAGGGAACCUCGAGUGCCAGGUUACAAAUCUGGCUGUCGAGAUGCCUAAAAAGCAUUUCAUAGCAAGGGCCGGGCAAGACCGGUGCCAGCCGCCGCGGUAACACCGGCGGCUCGAGUGGUAACCGUUAUUAUUGGGUCUAAAGGGUCUGUAGCCGGCCGGAUAAGUCCCUUGAGAAAUCUGGCAGCUUAACUGUCAGGCUUUCAGGAGAUACUGUCUGGCUCGAGGCCGGGAGAGGUGAGAGGUACUUCAGGGGUAGGGGUGAAAUCUUGUAAUCCUUGAAGGACCACCAGUGGCGAAGGCGUCUCACCAGAACGGACCUGACGGCAAGGGACGAAAGCUAGGGGCGCGAACC
rnacentral:rRNA from 1 species